rnacentral:rRNA from 1 species
GCAUAUCAAGCGGAAAAGAAACCCAACAGGGAUUGCCUCAGUAACGGCGAGUGAAGCGGCAAGAGCUCAAAUUUGAAAGCUGGCCCCCUCGGGGUCCGCAUUGUAAUUUGCAGAGGAUGCUUCGGGAGUGGCCCCCAUCUAAGUGCUCUGGAACGGGCCGUCAUAGAGGGUGAGAAUCCCGUAUGGGAUGGGGUGUCCGCGACCAUGUGAAGCUCCUUCGACGAGUCGAGUUGUUUGGGAAUGCAGCUCUAAAUGGGUGGUAAAUUUCAUCUAAAGCUAAAUAUUGGCCGGAGACCGAUAGCGCACAAGUAGAGUGAUCGAAAGAUGAAAAGCACUUUGAAAAGAGAGUUAAAAAGCACGUGAAAUUGUUGAAAGGGAAGCGCUUGCGACCAGACUCGCCUACGGGGUUCAGCCGGUAUUCGUACCGGUGUACUUCCCCGUGGGCGGGCCAGCGUCGGUUUGGGCGGCCGGUCAAAGGCCCUCGGAAUGUAACGCCUCUCGGGGCGUCUUAUAGCCGAGGGUGCCAUGCGGCCAGCCCGGACCGAGGAACGCGCUUCGGCACGGACGCUGGCAUAAUGGUCGUAAGCGACCCGUCUUGAAACACGGACCAAGGAGUCUAACAUCUACGGGAGUGUUCGGGUGUCAAACCCGUGCGCGCAGUGAAAGCGAACGGAGGUGGGAACCCUCACGGGUGCACCAUCGACCGAUCCUGAUGUCUUCGGAUGGAUUUGAGUAAGAGCGUAGCUGUUGGGACCCGAAAGAUGGUGAACUAUGCCUGAAUAGGGCGAAGCCAGAGGAAACUCUGGUGGAGGCUCGCAGCGGUUCUGACGUGCAAAUCGAUCGUCAAAUUUGGGUAUAGGGGCGAAAGACUAAUCGAACCAUCUAGUAGCUGGUUCCUGCCGAAG